UUGCCUGUAGCUCAGAGGAAAGAGCAACCGCCUUCUAAGCGGUUGGUCGCUGGUUCGAAUCCAGUCAGGCGAGUCA
rnacentral:tRNA from 2 species